rnacentral:rRNA from 1 species
GAAUGAGAAGAUUCAGUAUCUUACAUUUGGUCGAGCAUAGCAUUUUUGUGAUGAUAUAUUUAAUUUAUUUUUUAUAUGUUACACUGAAUUUGUUAUGAUAACUUGGCUAUGUAGGUAUGCACUUCUUCUCUAGUAGGACGUUGCAACUCAUUGGAUGUUAAUCUAAGGUCCCUUAUUGGUAGCCUAUUUUAUAUAUAUUUCGGUAUAUGUGAUUUAGACCAUAGGUGCUUACCCGAUUAACUUGUUCGAUGGUAUAACACAUAAUAUUGGGCCGCCUACCAAGGCAUUCAAACUAUUUUCAAGUGUGUAUGGGGAAUUUGGCUAACAGACCUAGUGCUGUUACUGAAACCGUUAUACUGUUGGAAUUUAGUAUAUUGAAUAGACCCUUUAUAUUGGUUAGCAACGCUUUA